CAGGUGCGCGUCAGUUUGCCAACCCUUUGGUUGGCCCAUUUUUUUUUUUUGAAUUUGGUGUGAAGACAAGUAGGGGAGGUGAACCAACCACCACAUGCCCAAAUUUUUCUCAACCACAUUUCAUCGACUCUCAUAUUGCUUCUUCAAAAUCUUCUCUAUAAAUACUCGUCCAUACUUUGCUGUUGUACAUCCAGAAGAGAGUUGAAAUUUGCCCACAUCCAAAGAAAGCUAGCUCCAUAAUACACCUUCAUCCUUUCAAACCAUGGCUACGCAAUUUAUUACUGUUUCUCUGGUUUUAACAUUGUCGCUGUUGAGCAUGGAAGUGAGCCUGGCAGGUCGCCACCUUCUGGACACACCAGCCGCUCCAUCACCACCAACACUACCUCAAAUUCCAUCUCUUCCUAAGCCCACAUUGCCUCCGUUGCCAGCAACGCCUGCGCUGCCCACUACCCCAUUGCCAACACAACCAAAUGUCCCAACUGUGCCAAAGCCCACAUUGCCGCCGCUGCCAUCUCUGACAAACCCAACAUUGCCAACCAUCCCCACAAUUCCAAACCUGGCGCUUCCUCCGCUGCCCUCCUUCCCCACCUCCAUCCCCACCUCAAUCUCUUCAAUAUUCCCCAACAUUCCAACAUUUAAUUUCCUUACACCACCUCCAUCCACCACCACCACCAGCCCUUGAGUGGGCCCUGCCACACCUUAGCCGAGGGAGACUAGCUGGGUUCGUAUGUAUUUGGAAGGCUUCAGGAAAUCCUAAUACACUUUAUUGCAUGAGAGGUUGAUUUAUAUGUCAGGUCUUGUCCUGUAACAAUUCAUGGUCCCUGUGAGGGCUCUUUAUGUGUCUUUCUCUAUGUUGUUUUUCUUUUUCUCUCUAUACGAGUACGAUUCCUUGUGUUUCUUUUUUGUUUUACAUGAAUACGAUCCCUCUCUUUUUAUUUUUUAAUUUGAUUAUUGAACACUUUCUCAAGCAGUAAACAUGACACGAUAUUCAUUUUUACGUCAAAAUCUUUGAAGAGGGAAGAAGACAAUAUGAGAUGCAGACAGAGAAGAAAGGCAGUCCCAACUUGGUCUGCUGACCGUCUUAAGUGUGUACUAAUCUAAUAAUCCUGAUAAAACUUGAUUAAACCUUAAUUUCAUUUUCAUUUUCCUCGUCUACAUCAUCUUUAACUCCUUAAUCAUCAGCUUCGUCUUCCGUAUAAGUCUCAACAAAUACUCUUUUAGGUGGUGUUUGUUUUUUUACUUAAUUCUAAAUAGAACCUUAAUGCUUGAUAGUGUUAAAUAUUAGGUUGUUUGUUUUUAUAGUAUUUUAUUUCUAUUAAGUAUUAAAAAGUAAAAAAAAUUAAUAUGUUAUUUUUUCUAUUUAGAAAAAACUAUAUAUUUUGGUUUUUUCUAUUUAGUAAAAAGUUUAUAAUAAGUCAUGAAAAAGUAGAAAAAUAAAUAAUUUAAAUUCUAAAACUAAAUUACUUUCAAUAAAAAGCCAAAAAAACAAACAUCACCUUAGUGUCACAUUAAGGCACGUAAAUCAAUUUUUCGAUGCCUCAUCUCUAAAUAUUAUCAAAUGAUAUGUUGGGAUUUGUAAAGCAAUUACAAUAAAAUAAUUAUUAAAAAGUCCAUCCAGAGUUAUCAAUCAAUAACAACAACUUGUAUAGGUAAGAAUCUCAUGUAUGAUGAUAAUGGUAUCUUUUGUACAAUUUUUUUUCAUGGGUUAAUAAUUAUAAUUUAAUGUAAUUUACUUAAAAUUAAUAAAAAAAAAAGUUUAUAACAACCGAUCCAUUUUUAUAUUUAAGAAUGAAUUAUUCAAACAAGGUUAAAAUUUAAAUAUAAAUAAAUAAUUUACCUAAACAAGCAAAGUGAUUGAGAUGUACAUCUUAUAAUUAUUUUUUAUGAAGGUUGAAGAGGUUGAAGAUCUAUUUGGUGACAAAAAACACACUCUUUUAAGGAAGGAUGUUUUUUUUAUUUCAUGCCAAUACAAAGUUGCAAGUCAAAUAUUAUGUUAAAACUAUUUUUUUAAAAAAAUUAAUAAAAAGUUUAUCUUGUUUGUAAAAAUAAUGGUUCUAAUUCAUUUUAUAUUAUUUCAUGUAAAUAUAAAAUUGUGAAUAGGAGAUCGUGUUAAAAGAAAUUUAGAAGUUAUUUAGUAAAAAGUUUAUUUUGUUUAUAAAAAUAAUAAUUCUAAUUCAUUUUUUUUCAAAAUGAUUAUAAUAUUAAUGCAUUAAUGUCAAUUAUAUUUUUUUGAAUCUUAAUCAUAUUAUUUAUAUCUGGAUCGUAUAGUUUGUACUCACAUCCUAUUAUUCAUACUUUAAUUUUAACUCAUAAUAUUCGUAUUUGAGUCAUAUUAUUUAUACUUUGGUUAUAUGAUUCGUUUCUUCAUCAUAUUUUUUGUAUUUUUGUCACAUUGUUUGUACGAUGAUAAUAUGUUUAGUAUCUUUGUAACAUUUUUCAUACUGUGAUGAUAUUAUUUGCAUUGUAAUUCUUUUAAAUCCAUGAUUUUAGGUUGUAGUAAAGAAAUUUACAUCACAUACUUCUUUGUACAUCUCGUGUAUAUAUACUGAUUAGUCGUGUAAUGAAGGGCAGGUGGUACAUCAAAACCUCAAGCGGCUUUGGAAUGAUCUAUGAGUCCUACCAUGAAGCAAUCCAUGUGUCAAAAUUUUAGAAGAUAAUAACCCAACAAGCUGAAAAGUUCUAGCAGUAUACAUAAGUGAGCUCAGGUUUGCGUCAGUUUGCCAACCCUAAUUGGUUGGUUUUAUUUUGAAUUUGCUGUAAGACAAGUAGGGGAGGUGAACUAACCACCACUCCUCCAAAUUUCUCUCAACCACAUCUCAUCAAUCUCUUAUAUUGCUUCUUCAAAUUCUUCUCUAUAAAUACCCGUCCAUACUUUGUUGUUGUUUAUCCAGAACAGAGUUGAAAUUCGUCCACAUCCAAGGGAAGCUAGCUCCAUACACUUUUAUCUUUUUAAACCAUGGCUAGGCAUUGUCUUAUUGUAUCUCUGGUUUUAGCAUUGUCACUGUUGAGCAUGGAUGUGAGCCUGGCAGGCCGCCACCUUUUGGACAUACCAACAGCUCCACCACCAGCACUAACACUGCCUCAAACUCCAUCUCUUCCUAAGCCCACAUUGCCUCCCUUGCCAGCAAUGCCUGCGCUGCCCACCACCCCAUUGCCGACACUGCCAAGUGCCCCAACUCUGCCAAAGCUCACAUUGCCGCCGUUGCCAUCUUUGCCAAACCCAACAUUGCCAACCAUGCCCACAAUUUCAAAGAUGACGCUUCCUCCGCUGCCCGCCAUCCCCACCUCAAUUCCUUCAUUCCCCACCAUUCCAACAACAAUCCCAACAGUUCCUUUCCUUUCACCACCUCCAUCCACCACCAGCCCUUAGAGUGGCCCCGCCACACCUUAGUCCUGGGAGACAAGCUGGAUUCACAUGUGUUUGGAAGGCUUCAGGAAUUCCCAUAUAAUUACAUUCUAUUGUCUGAGACGUUUGACUCAUUUGUGAGGUCUUGUAACAAUUCAUGGUCUAUGUGGGGGUUUUCUGCGUUUCUUUUUAUUCUAUAUGAAUACGAUUCCUUGUAUUUCUUUUUGUUCUAUAUGAAUACGAUUCCUUGUAUUUCUUUUUAUUCUAUAUGAAUACCAUUCCUCUCUUUGUUUAAUUUGAGUAUUGAACACCUUCGUAAUCGGUAAACAUGGCACAAUAUUCAUUUUUACGUCAAAAUCUUUAAGUGGGAAGAAGACAAUAUGAGAUGCUGACAGAGAAGAAAGGCAGUCCCAACUUGGUGAUCUGCUGACCGUCCAAGUAUAAGGGUAUGCUAUAAUGAACUUCAAGGAUUCCUUGUGUCCCAUGGCUUCAUGAAUUCCAAGUCUAACUUGUCACUAUUGUUGGUGUCAAGCCAACUGAAUUCAGGUCCGUCCAAUUUCACUAGAGUCAGACGGAUUUCUUCCCUACACAGAAGGAUGUUCGGACAGGUGAUCCAGGCACGCCCCUCCGAAGCUUAGGUAAAAAAUAUUCAACGAGAAUAACUCUAAUUAUUUUUUGUGGGAGAGAAUGAACGUUUGUACUUUGUUCGUGCUUCUUGAGGGGUUUAUAUAGAGUUGAUGACAUCGUCAUUAUAACGUUGAUUAUGCACUCUUGCCUUUCUUGUAAUGAUGAUUGUUCGACAGAAAUCAAGCCUUGAUAGGACAGUCAACGUUGUCACUGCUGCAUGGACUAGGCAAUCACAUCAAGUAAGGGCUGCUGACUGGUGCCAUUUGCUGAAUGUGGUGUCAAAAUCUUGAACCAUGUAGUUGACUAUCCAUUUAGCUUGCCAAUAUUUGGGAUUGUGCGUAACAAUUAAUUGAUAUUGACUUUUAGGUGUAAAUAACGUUUAGUCCGCUGAUCAGACAUUAGGUGUCUAGGUCGUCGCUCAGAUAUCAAACGUCUAGUCCGGCACUCAGACAUCACAUAUCUAGGUUGGCACUCAGACAUCAAACGUCUAGGUUGGCACUCAGACAUCAAACGUCUAGGUUGGCACUUAGACAUCAGACGUGGUUGAUCAGACAUGCUAGAAAUCUUGAGGACUUGACUAGAUUGAUUUGCUCGAUAAGUCCAACCGACUUGGUCUGUUCAUUCUAUUUGGUGCUAGAUAUAGUUUAUCUUGGUCCAGAUAGAGUGAUCCUAGACGGGUUAUAUUUUUGCCCUGAUAAGCUAAAGAGUUUUGAUUAUGAGAAGACAUACACGUGGAAGGAAGCCCCUUGCAACUAUUUAUUGAUAAACGUACACUUUUCUUUCUUGUUUAUAUUGACAACAUAUUUAUCAUGGGUACCUCAAUUACAUUUCUCACUCACUUCAUUGGUGUCUUAACAUAAAAGUUUUAUAUCUUGGCCCACUAAGCUAUUUUCUCGGUGUUGAAACUGCUUUCACUUAGAAUGAUUUGUUCUUAUCCCAACAUAAAUAUAUUAGUGACCUACCCGAGAAGAUGAACAUGCUUGAAAAUGAGGAAGUAUUUUUUUUCUUACUCGCUUAACAUCUCCUUCGUUGUUAACAAAUUAUCCAAUCCUUGACUCAUUAGACAUCAUUGCAACGUGUUCUUCGCUACUUGAAAAGAACUUUGUACCAUGGGAUCCUCAUUAGAUGAACCUACUUUAUUAAUCUUCAUGCGUCUACAAGAACUUGACAAGUGAUGUCAAUGAUCACACCUUCACUUUUGCCUAUGUUUUGUUCCUUAUGCUACUCCCAUCGAUUGGAGCUCUAAAAAGGGAAAAACCAUUGCUCGCUGUUCCAUGGAUGCUGAGUAUCACAUGGUUGCCUCCACUACAGUAGAGAUAAACUGGAUUCAAAACUUGUUACGAGAGUUUCAUGCACCAUUGCCAGCUACACCAGUUAUCUACUAUGAUAAUGUAGCGACUAAAUACUUUGCGACAAUCGCAUCUUCCAUUCCUGAAAGAAGCCCAUCACUAUCGACUUCCAUUUUGUUUGUAGCCAAGUGUCCAAAUAACAACUUUGAGUCUCAUGGCCAUCCUGCUAAUUAACUUGCAGAUUUGUUAUAAAUCCUUUCUCUCGUUAGUCAUUUAUUCGCCAACGGUACAAGAUUGGAGUUCACAAUGAAACCACAAUCUUGUGCGGGAAUGAAAGAACAUAAUCCCACCGUACUAUGAUUCUCAUCUCUUUUGGAAAAUAUUUUUGAAUUAUAAUUAUUUAAAAUUAAUUCCCAUGAUUUUAGGUUGUAAUUAGGGAAUUGACAUCACAUACUUCUCUGUAUAUGUAUAUCACAUGUACAAGCAUAUAGUCACUCUUUUAUGUAAUGAAAGGCAAGACCAUUCAGCAAAACCUCAAGCCGCUUUAGUAUGAUCUAUAGAUUCUACUGUGAAUAAAUCCAUUUCAAAAUUUUAAAAGAUUAUUACCCAUGGGUCAAAAAGACUCAAAUCUCAAACAACAAACUGAGCAAUUCUAGCGGUAUACACAAGUGAGCUCAGGUUUGCGUCAGUUUGCCGACCCUUUUGGUUGGUUUUCUUUUGAAUUUGAAGUAACACAAGUAGGGGAGGUGAACUAACCACUUCUUUUCCAUAUUUCUCUCAACCACAUCUUAUCAAACUCCUAUUGCUUCUUCAAAACACACUCAGAAAUCCUUCAAAAGCUUAUCUAUAAAUACUCGUCCAUGCUUUGCUGUUCUGCAUCCAGAACAAAGUUGAAAUUUUCUCACAUCCAAGGGAAGUAGCUCCACAAACCUUGUAUCUUUUAAAACCAUGGCUAUGCAUUGUAUUACUGUAUCUCUGGUUUUAGCAUUGUCACUGUUGAGCAUAGAUGUGUCCCUGGCGGGUCGUCACCUUCUGGACACACCAGCAGCUCCACCACCAGCAUUAACACUACCUCAAAUUCCAUCUCUUCCUAAGCCGACAUUGCCUCCUUUGCCAGCAAUGCCUACGCUGCCCACUACCCCAUUGCCAACGUUGCCAAGUGUCCCAACUCUGCCGAAGCCCACAUUGCCCCCGCUGCCAUCCCUGCCAAACCC
rnacentral:lncRNA from 1 species